UGUAAAGUAAAAUUUUGAAUGAUUAGAGAUGAUAAGAAAGUAUAUAGUAGAAUUUAAACUGGAAGCAGUAAACUGGUAGAUAGGGAGUCCCGGAGAGUAAUAGUAUUCAUUAUUAUCAAGCAUUAGAUAGGUGCACUAAAACAACGGAAGAAGUGCGCAUAGCAAUACAAAAUAAUAGACUUCUUGCAAGCCAAAUGUUAUUAUUUAACAAAACUAAACAUCAUUUGCUUAGUAUUGAAAAAUACUACAACCAAUUUAGCAAGUUAUUUGGAUUGGUAUAAAUAUACUAGCCACUAUUCUUUUGCCAACUCCACAGACAACUUUUACCCCCUAUAAUACCUAUUACAGUCAAGUAACACAUAUCCGCAAACAUUAUACAACCUAUGAAUCAUUGUUUUUUGUUACUGUCUGUUGCUUUUUACGCUGAAGUUCUCUUCUUUUACUAUCCCAAGUAUAGUAAUACAUGACAAUUCUAUUUUCUAUGAGCACUAUUGUUCCAUCAUAAAAUUGCACCAUAUCCAUGACUUUUCUUUGAGCUUCAUUAAAAAAUUCGAACCACUUUUCACGAUAAGCUGGAUUGUGUAAUAUUGCAACUCCUUCGUUUUUAUUAUUAGACUUUUUAUUAAGCAUUUCAAUCUCAUCGAGAGUGUAAGACAUAUCAUCCCCUCUAAUUGAUUAUAAAAAUAUUUACCUUUAAAAGAGAAAUAUACAUAAACAUCUCCCUCGAUCCUUCAUUUAUUAUUGCAUUAGUAAAUGAUACUACAGUAUAUAAUAA